rnacentral:rRNA from 1 species
CCUACGGGGGACAGCAGUGAGGAAUAUUGGUCAAUGGGCGCGAGCCUGAACCAGCCAAGUAGCGUGAAGGAUGACUGCCCUACGGGUUGUACACUUCUUUUAUAAAGGAAUAAAGUGCGGCACGUGUGCCUUUUUGUAUGUACUUUAUGAAUAAGGAUCGGCUAACUCCGUGCCAGCAGCCGCGGUAAUACUGAGGAUCCGAGCGUUAUCCGGAUUUAUUGGGUUUAAAGGGAGCGUAGAUGGGUUGUUAAGUCAGUUGUGAAAGUGUGCGGCUCAACCGUAAAAUUGCAAUUGAGACUGGCAGUCUUGAGUACAGUUGAGGUAGGCGGAAUUCGUGGUGUAGCGGUGAAAUGCUUAGAUAUCACGAAGAACUCCGAUUGCGAAGGCAGCUUACUAAACUGCCACUGACAUUGAUGCUCGAAAGUGUGGGUAUCAAACAGGAUUAGAUACCCUUGUAGUC